rnacentral:sRNA from 1 species
AGAGUUAAAUAGUACGUGAAAUUGUUGAAAGGGAAACGAUUGAAGCCAGUCGUACCUGCGGGUAAUCAGCCUUUUGGGCAUGAUUCUGUGGAGCUUGAGGAGUUAAACGCCUUCAUGCCUGCAUAUUCGUGUACUUUGGGUGUACUUGCCUGUGUGGUUAGUUAACAUCAAUUUUGGUUAUCAUAAAAUGGUUGGAGGAAUGUAGCUUCGAUUUCGAUUGAAGUGUUAUAGCCUUCGGCAGAUGUGAUGAUCGGGAUUGAGGAUUGCAACGGAUACCCUUCGGGGCUACCUGUCUGGUCUCUGAUCGUUGCUCUGGUGCCGAAAGCGUGCUUACGGUUAUCAAAGUCGAUGGUCAAUAGGUUAGAACGGGUUAAAUUCGUUAAGGAUGUUGACGUAAUGGCUUUAAACGACC